GCCCACGGUGGCUCAGAUGGAUAGAGCGUCUGCCAUGUAAGCAGGAGGUCCCGGGUUCGCGUCCCGGUCGUGGCA
rnacentral:tRNA from 1 species